rnacentral:rRNA from 1 species
ACUCCUACGGGAGGCAGCAGUGGGGAAUAUUGCACAAUGGGCGCAAGCCUGAUGCAGCCAUGCCGCGUGUGUGAAGAAGGCCUUCGGGUUGUAAAGCACUUUCAGUUGUGAGGAAGGUGGUGUCGUUAAUAGCGGCAUCAUUUGACGUUAGCAACAGAAGAAGCACCGGCUAACUCCGUGCCAGCAGCCGCGGUAAUACGGAGGGUGCGAGCGUUAAUCGGAAUUACUGGGCGUAAAGCGCAUGCAGGUGGUUUGUUAAGUCAGAUGUGAAAGCCCGGGGCUCAACCUCGGAACUGCAUUUGAAACUGGCAGACUAGAGUACUGUAGAGGGGGGUAGAAUUUCAGGUGUAGCGGUGAAAUGCGUAGAGAUCUGAAGGAAUACCGGUGGCGAAAGGCGGCCCCCUGGACAGAUACUGACACUCAGAUGCGAAAGCGU